AACCUAGCACACCUGCGGUGUGUACCUGCGGAGGGAUCAUUACCGAGUUUACAACUCCCAAACCCCUGUGAACAUACCUAUAAUUUGCCUCGGCGGACUCAACGACGGUGCUCCGAGAAAUCGGGCGCCGCUCGCUGCCAGAGGAACCCCAAACUCUAUGUAUUCUUGUGGAUCUUCUGAGUAAAACAAAACAAAUAAAUCAAAACUUUCAGCAACGGAUCUCAGAUCGGAAGAGCACAC
rnacentral:misc_RNA from 1 species